GAAGUCAAAGUCCUUCCCUCUGUGUGUGGACUUCAGUGGAACUCUCAGGUCACAGAGAUUCAGGGUGGUCAGAGGCGGUUUGAUGUUUUGGGGAGAAAGAACAGCCGUGAAGGAUUCUGUGAUGCAGGAGAAGGUGGGAGGCCUCAGGACAGAAUCAGCAGGUCACCAUGCUUUCCUGCGUCAUCCACCUGUGGGCCUCUAAUGUGUUUCUAUGAAGUUUGCAUUAAAGUUUCAGCCACUAUUUUUCAGAAACAUGGUCAACCUCUCCUUCCCUCCUCUAUCUGCUGAUAGAGUUCUACAGAAAACAAGGGAAUGACUUGAGGAGGUGAGGUAAUGCGAAAGGGAGACAGGUCUUUUGGGUUUCUUUCUCCAUCGGCUCAGCUGUCAGAAUUGCAAUUUUGUUUAAAUAAUUUCUUAUGCUCAAAUUUAUUCAUCCAUUAAAAGGUGCCAUAAAUGAAAUGCAACUGCCAUUUCUUAUAGGGGGAUUCUGAAGGUUGUUGGUGGAUUCCUAGAAUGUAGCCCGCAGAACUGUGCCUGGAACGAUACCGGAUCACUGCAAAAGUACAGCGAACAGGGUCGCUUUGAAUAUUAAAGGAGGACUUUUUCAAAGUGUAUAGAGAGCAGUCAAAAGAUCGCCACAGUUGCUCUGUGUUUUCGUGAGCCAGCUUUCUCGGAAGGACUAAGCCAGUGGAUCACAAACAUCCUGGAGAGCAGUGACUCUGUGAUUCCAUCACAAGAAUAUGAAGGACUGAGAAGAUCUCCAGCUCUGCCCAUUGCACCUUCCCAUUGAGAAGCAGCAUGGCACCCUGGUGGCAGGGGCUGAUACUCAGCCGGGCCAGGGUGCUCUCCUGUUAACCAUAACCAAGCUCACAGGACAUGGGAUGAGCCCACUGUGUGACACAGGGAGCGGGACACAGUCUGUUAAGUCUUGCACAGCCAUGCUCUGCCACGCAGGCAGGCCUUUCCUUGGCCUCCCUCUCCCUGUUCGUGCUCAUGUGAACAUCCACCUACGUGGAUAGACUGGGCUUUGGUUCAUUAUUGCUCUGUGAAUUCCUCGAACUUCCGCAUCUGCCCAACCUCCCCCACCCCAUUGUUUUCAUUGUGUUUCACCAAAUGGAAAUUCUAGAGUAAGCAUGUGAGUCCUCUCCCAAACUUGUUCACUGUUGAGAGUGCUAAAAUGCUAACCCCAGAUGCUAACUGAGGGGUAGGGUUACCUUAUCUUUAGAGCACUGCGAAUUGUAUGUUAAGUGGAACUUAAUGAAAAAAUAGUUAAUUGACCAACAUGAAUAUCCCCUGAACAGAAUCUCCCCUGAACAGAAUCCUACAAUGAAACUAAGGGAGAUAAAUAAAGCUGUUUACCUGAAAGCUCUCUCUAAUCAAGAUCCUUUGAAAUUUAUAAAACAUGGUCAAUAUUUGCACUGGACUUUGUAAAAAUAAAGCUUGAUAAGAGAAGAGUUUGAAGUGAAAUGCUGCCACUUUCUAUGCAAUAUUUGAUUUAAAUUUAAUUCCUAGAAACCUCAGAUGAAUGUGGUUCAUGUAUCAAAGCACUCAGCAUUAUUUAUCGCGGCCUUAAAUACACAGUGAGCUUACAUGUGAAUGAAUACAUAUAUUAUGUAUCUCUCUCUAUAUAUAUACUAUAUAGAUAAUAUAGUAUAUAUAUAUAUAUAGUGUAUAUAUACACUAUAUAUAUCGUGUAUACAUAUACUAUCUAUAUAGUAUAUAUGUAUAUGGUAUAUAUAUCUAUCUAUAGAUAGAUAGAUAGAUAUACUUAAAAAAACCCCAUUCCCUUAAGAGCAGUUAAGGGACACCAUAUAUCAAAUUUCUUGGCACGUUGUGAAUAUUAAUAUCCCCAAAGUGUCAAUGUCAAAUGAUUUGACUUGAAAUCACUAAGCUUGGUAAUCUCACUAUUUUUAAACAAGGCCUAACAUCUUUUAAUCUUGAAUACCAGCAAGUUCUCAGACUUCAGUUGUUUAUUUUCUCUUUUCUUUCCUUUAAAAAAUUCUGACAAGCUCUUUUCCUUGACACAAAGAAAGCGUAUAAAUUUUAUUUUGGUUUGAACAACAGAAAUUUGCCUCUCAGAAUUCUGGAGAUUGGAAAGUCUAAGGACUAAGCUGCUGGCCAAUUUAGUUCUUAGUGAGGACUCUCUUCCUGGCUUGUAGAUGGCUGCCUUCUCACUGCAUCCUCAGAGAGAGAGAGAGAGAGGGCUCUUGUGUCUCUUCCUUUCUCAUAAAGCGUCAGCUCUCUUGUAUUAGGGUCCCACCCAUAAUUACCCCCUUAUAUGCCCCAUCUACAAAUAGAGUCACAUUGUGGGUUAGAGCUUGGCAGUGAAUAAUUAUGGAGGUUAUUGUUGGCUUUAGAAUUUCGUGGUAGAAACAAUAAAUUGCCUUUGUGUUUA
rnacentral:lncRNA from 1 species